UACGUAGGGUGCGAGCGUUAAUCGGAAUUACUGGGCGUAAAGCGUGCGCAGGCGGCUUUGUAAGACAGAUGUGAAAUCCCCGGGCUUAACCUGGGAACUGCGUUUGUGACUGCAAGGCUGGAGUGCGGCAGAGGGGGGUGGAAUUCCACGUGUAGCAGUGAAAUGCGUAGAGAUGUGGAGGAAUACCGAUGGCGAAGGCAGCCCCCAGGGUUGACACUGACGCUCAUGCACGAAAGCGUGGGGAGUAAACAGG
rnacentral:rRNA from 1 species